rnacentral:rRNA from 1 species
UACGAAGGGGGGCUAGCGUUGCUCGGAAUCACUGGGCGUAAAGCGCACGUAGGCGGAUUGUUAAGUCAGGGGUGAAAUCCUGGAGCUCAACUCCAGAACUGCCUUUGAUACUGGCGAUCUCGAGUCCGGGAGAGGUGAGUGGAACUGCGAGUGUAGAGGUGAAAUUCGUAGAUAUUCGCAAGAACACCAGUGGCGAAGGCGGCUCUCUGGGACGGUACUGACGCUGAGACGCGAAAGCGUGGGGAGCGAACAGG